CAUGGUUUAUAUACCUUUACUGUAAGGGCCCUGUGCAUCAAUACGUUUUACCUGCGUUUUUAUACCUGUUGCAUCAUCUGUAAGCACCGUGUGCAAAAAAUUAGGGUCGUGUGCAAAAAUAUGUUGGACUUACCUUUUGAUCUUACUGUGUACGUCUUUGUACACUAUCUAGUCAGCGAACUUACCUAUGCAUUAUGACGUCAUCCACUUGUAAAAUUAAAGUUUCAUUUUCACUUUUGUUUCUAAGAAGUGAACUUAGAUUUUCAGAAAAUGUAGGACUAUCUUUCGUUUUUCCUCUCUUUUACUAUGAUGAUUUUCCUGCUGUGAAGCUUUUCUUGUAUAAAGCUCAAUUUCUCUCUGACCACGGAAGUAAACAUCCUGAUGCAUUCUUGUCAUGUGAAUGUUGAGAGCGUGUUCAUUUUUGAAAUCUCCUUUCUGACAGACCUAUUCCACAGGAUCAGCUGAGAUGUUAUUUCACUGGAUUAUUUAAUGGAUAGGCUUAUUGGGCAUAUAUUUGGAUAUCUCUGUCAUCAACAUGGAAGAUAAGUUUUGUUCCUAACCAUCUAUAAUCAAUUCUCUAUGAAGUUCAGACUGUCUGCCCUUCCUUUGGAAAUACACAGUUAGUCAACCAACAUAGAAACACACAAACUUGAAGGAUUCUCUAGUGAGGGCUUAUGGAAAUGAUCUAUGUCUACUCUUAGAAUGGUAAAAGACUAUCAGAUUAUGCAAAGACUAACAGAAUAUCCUCUCUUGGAACACUGAAACAAGAAAACCAAACUUAAGAGGAUGGUGGAUUUAAGAAGAACAUAGAUAAAUAUGAUUUCCAACGAAUUUAACCAGUACGAUCAUAGACUGUGGUUAACAGGAUGACAAAGAAAGGACCCAGGAUUGUAUCUUUCACUGUCAGACACUGACUAUGGAUAAAGUGUAAUCAUUUAUCAAACUGAGAUCUAGUCAAAUCAAGUAUUGAAAAUAUGAUUUUCUGAUAGCAUGAGCUCUUUAAAAACUAAUUCUCACGGACCUCAAAGUAUCUGAAUGUGACUUUUAUUUUUACCAAUUCAUAUUGAAGACUGUUGUUAUGUAUGGGAAUUACACAUUUAAACCUUUUAUUUUUCAUCUAAUUUUUACAACCCCUAUAAAUUACACAUAUAUCCAGAUGCUGGAUUUAAUGUUAUUAUUUAACUUUCCUGGAAUUGUAAAUAUAUUUUGUUUGUGUAUGUAUCAUGUUUAAUUUUGAAUUUAAAAUUGGUCUCAAUAAGACCCCCAAUAAAGAUGCAACUGUCUUAUAAUCUGUGGUUUAAUAAUAUCUUGAAUAUCUUUAUCAUACCAUAUUCAUCAUACUAAUUACAUAUAGAAUGGUUGUAGGAAUACACUUAGUUUUAUAGGACACUUUGUCAGGGUCAAAGCAUGAGAUAAUUGAGAUAACUACCUUUGACAAUAAUUUGUAACCUGCAAAAUUCACAUCAUAAGUAAAGAAAGAUUCGGAGAUUUUCUAUAGAUUUUUGGAUCAUUUUCUCCUGGGUAAGAUUUAGUUGUUGUAACUUUAACAUUUUGUGAUAACCUAAAGACUUUAUAUCAGCUCUAUUGGGUGGCAUAGCAUAUUCUUUGGAAAGAAUUGAAAUGUUAAUCAUAUGCACUAUGUUCAAGGAUGUUUAAAGACUAUUACUAUGUAAUACCUUAGAAUUCUGUAAAAAUUUUAUUAUCACUGCGUAGAUAAAGACUGGUUAGGAUAAUUUAUGUUUUGAAAUAAGGUUUAGGGAAAAAAGUCAAGAAUGUGGAUAUGACUUUUAUUCAUAUGGUGCAGUACAGCAACUCUGGUGAUUUACAUACCUUCAGUCAUAAAUACAUGUAGAUAGGUAUUGGAAAGACUCCUCUACAUUUUGAAAUUUUUAAUUCAAAAGUAUAGAUUUUUUUUAAGUUUGAAAGAUUAGAUGGUAGCAUAUCAUUUGCUUGUGAAUUAAAAAAUAAAUCCAAACAUAUAUAUCCUUGGAUGAUAAUUGUAGAAUUUUAUCAAUUCUUGGACUUCGGUCUUGAUAUCAUCCUUUAAUGUCCUUAAAAUUUUAAUGACUGUCUUUUAGUUUUAGUUGAAUUAGUUUCUUUUCUACAUGUGAAAAUGACAUCAUCCAAAGAAGUUCUUCAUCUGCAUGUUAUAUGAAGAAGACAAUUUUCAUCACAGUGAAAGAGAUUGUUUUGUUAAACAUAAUGCAUUGAUGCACAAAUAUACUUUUAGAUUUCUAAUAGCUAGGGUUCAUAUUUCUUAAUAUGGAAUGCUAAGUACUGUUGAUUUCAAUUUUUUGUGAACAAAGUCAUACUUGUAGAAAAAAAAUGUACAUGAUGUGUUA